UGUCAAGCGGUUCGGCGCCAUUUCGGCGAGCAGAUUUCUUUUGCCUAGCGAUAGGUGAAAGAGAAUG
rnacentral:sRNA from 1 species